rnacentral:lncRNA from 1 species
GUGACUUUGAACUAGCUAACUUUAGCUAACUAUCAUAUAUUUCGAUAUGCUAGGUGGCUAGGUAUGUAGCCAUGUUAGCUAGCUAAGCUAGUUAGCCUGCAGGACUAGCCUCUUGCAAUGCAGUCGGAGUUAGCAACGUUUUGUAGCUUGCCGGCUAAUGACAGGCUAACUGUCUCAACGACCCAGACUCAACAUAACUCCCGGGACUUUGAACUAGCUACCUAUUAAACCUUUUAGUUAGCUUAUCUAGAGAACACAGUUUGUCAGUUAACUUAUUGCAUCUUUGUGAAUUAUGAGAAUUGUACACAACUGGCUCAGGUCUCUCUAGUGAAAUGCUAACAAGACAUAGCAUUCAUUGUUACGAAGUUAUAUGGUUACUAUCUUCGGUGGUGUGUUUAUUGUGUGAGAGGGACGGCAGGUUUGUGUGUGUGUGUGUGUGUGUGAAAGAGAGGGACGGCAGGUGUGUAUUUAUUGUGUGUAUACCUGUGUCCUUAGUUCCCGUGGGUAAGAGAGAUGGCAGGUGUGUAUUUAUUGUGUGUAUACCAGGUGUGUGUGUACCAGGUGUGUAUUUAUUGUGUGUAUACCAGGUGUGUGUGUACCAGGUGUGUAUUUAUUGUGUGUAUACCAG